rnacentral:rRNA from 1 species
AUUGAACGCUGGCGGCAUGCCUUACACAUGCAAGUCGAACGGUAACGGGCCUUCGGGUGCCGACGAGUGGCGAACGGGUGAGUAAUGUAUCGGAACGUACCUUUCAGUGGGGGAUAACGUAGCGAAAGUUACGCUAAUACCGCAUAUUCUGUGAGCAGGAAAGCAGGGGAUCGCAAGACCUUGCGCUGAUUGAGCGGCCGAUAUCAGAUUAGCUAGUUGGUGAGGUAAAGGCUCACCAAGGCGACGAUCUGUAGCGGGUCUGAGAGGAUGAUCCGCCACACUGGAACUGAGACACGGUCCAGACUCCUACGGGAGGCAGCAGUGGGGAAUUUUGGACAAUGGGGGCAACCCUGAUCCAGCCAUGCCGCGUGAGUGAAGAAGGCCUCGGUGUAAGA